rnacentral:rRNA from 1 species
GACGAACGCUGGCGGCGUGCCUAAUACAUGCAAGUCGAGCGAACUUGAUGGAGCUUGCUCCUGAUAGUCAGCGGCGGACGGGUGAGUAACACGUGGGCAACCUGCCUGUAAGACUGGGAUAACUUCGGGAAACCGGAGCUAAUACCGGAUACGUUCUUUUCUCGCAUGAGAGAAGAUGGAAAGACGGUUUCGGCUGUCACUUACAGAUGGGCCCGCGGCGCAUUAGCUAGUUGGUGGGGUAAUGGCUCACCAAGGCGACGAUGCGUAGUCGACCUGGGAGGGUGAGCGGCCACACGGGGACUGAGACACGGCCCAGACUCCUACGGGAGGCAGCAGUAGGGAAUCUUCCGCAAUGGACGAAAGUCUGACGGAGCAACGCCGCGUGAGUGAAGAAGGUUUUCGGAUCGUAAAACUCUGUUGUCAGGGAAGAACAAGUACCAUAGUAACUGAUGGUACCUUGACGGUACCUGACCAGAAAGCCACGGCUAACUACGUGCCAGCCGCCGCUGUAACAC